AAAGCUGGGAGUCUUGAGUGCAGAAGAGGAAAGUGGAAUUCCAUGUGUAGCGGUGAAAAGAGUAGAGAUAUGGAGGAACACCAGUGGCGAAGGCGUCUUUGUGGUCUGUAACUGACACUGAGGCGAGAAAGCGUGGGGAGCAAACAGGAUUAGAUACCGUGGUAGUCCACGCCGUAAACGAUGAGUGAUAAGUGUUAGAGGGUUUCCGCCCUUUAGUGCUGAAGUUACCGCAUUAAGCACUCCGCCUGGGGAGUACGGCCGCAAGGCUGAAACUCAAAGGAAUUGGCGGGGGCCCGCACAAGCGGUGGAGCAUGUGGUUUAAUUAGAAGCAACGCGAAGAACCUUACCAGGUCUUGACAUCCUCUGAAAACCCUAGAGAUAGGGCUUCUCUUUCGGGAGCAGAGUGACAGGUGGUGCAUGGUUGUCGUCAGCUCGUGUCGUGAGAUGUUGGGUUAAGUCCCGCAACGAGCGCAACCCUUGAUCUUAGUUGCCAUCAUUAAGUUGGGCACUUUAAGGUGACUGCCGGUGACAAACCGGAGGAAGGUGGGGAUGACGUCAAAUCAUCAUGCCCCUUAUGACCUGGGCUACACACGUGCUACAAUGGACGGUACAAAGAGCUGCAAGACCGCGAGGUGGAGCUAAUCUCAUAAAACCGUUCUCAGUUCGGAUUGUAGGCUGCAACUCGCUUACAUGAAGCUGGAAUCGCUAGUAAUCGCGGAUCAGCAUGCCGCGGUGAAUACGUUCCCGGGCCUUGUACACACCGCCCGUCACACCACGAGAGUUUGUAACACCAAAUCGUAGCUGGGGUAACCU
rnacentral:rRNA from 1 species